rnacentral:lncRNA from 1 species
CCCCCUCCGCAGCUCCGGCAUACAUCUUCGACGGCCACAACUCCCUCCCUGGCCACCUUCCUCGUCUCCAAUCGCCAGGCCCGUCCCCGUCGGCCACAUCUCCUGGCCGUAUGCCUUCCUCCUCUCCAAUCGAGAGGUCCAGGUUCGACCCCGUUGGCCUCUUCUCGAAUUGAUCCUCUGCUCCACCGCUCCGCUCCUCUCGACCCUGUGCUCCGCUCCGUCGCGUCAACACACUCCGUCGCCUUCGACACGUCAGCACACUCAGCUGGAGGACGCCCCUUAGCAGCAGACUCACAGUCCAGCUCUAUCUCCGCCGCCUGAGCCAUCUUCGUUGUGUCAGCACACUCCGUCGCCUCCGCCGCAUCAGCAGAUUCAGCCGGAGGAGGCCCCUCAGUACAACCUGCCUCGUCAGCUGACUCCGCCGCCUCAGCUCUGGCGAAAGAGAUCCACCGCCGCUCCGGUGGCUAGUAGUACGACGUCGAAGAAAUCCAGAGCACGUAGGGUCAAGAAGGCUCCUGCCAAGUUACCAUACGACCUGGCUGAGGAGGAAAACAAAGAGGUCGUGUAUGACGAAAUGAAACGCCAUUUUGCACCGAAGCGUUCAAAUCCAAAAUAGAUUCAGAAAAAGUGAGGCGUUGUAUGAGAAAUCUUACGAAACCACCGCCGCGACUGCUAUGAGACAAUGACCGCUCUAUUGUAAAGUCAUAUAGAGAUCCAGAGCAGCGGUCGGCAAAUAGCAGUAGUGCAAAGGGGAAAACAAUUCCCUAGCUCGACGAACAGAAAAUCCAAUCGUGCCC